rnacentral:rRNA from 1 species
CUUGCUGAUGUAAGUAAAGUGGCGCACGGGUAAGUAACGCGUGGGUAAUCUGUCCCUGGGUACGGGAUAGUCGGUGAAAGCGUGCUAAUACCGGAUACAUCAUUGGGCUUUGGUUCAAUGAUUAGGUGAGCCUCUCCAUGGAAGCUAUUGCUUGGGGGUAAGCCCGCGUACCAUUAGCUGGUUGGUAUGGUAAUGGCCUACCAAUGCGACGAUUGUUAGCUGGUCUGAGAGGAUGAUCAGCCACACUGGAACUGAGAGACGGUCCAAACUCCUACGGGAGGCAGCAGUGAUGAAUUUUGCGCAAUGGUGGUAACCCUGACGCAGCAACGCCGCGUGAGUGAUGAAUGCCUUCGGGUCGUAAAGCUCUGUCAAGUGGGAAGAAUCCAUCCUGGCCCAACACGUUGGGGUGUUGACGGUACCACUGAAGGAAGCACCGGCUAACUCCGUGCCAGCAGCCGCGGUAAUACGGAGGGUGCAAGCGUUAUUCGGAAUUAUUGGGCGUAAAUGGCGCGUAUGCGGCCAGGCAAGUCAGAUGUGAAAUCCCGGGGCUUAACCCCGGUAGUGCAUUUGAAACUG